rnacentral:rRNA from 1 species
CCAACGACUCUCGGCAACGGAUAUCCCGGCUCUCGCAUCGAUGAAGAACGUAGCGAAAUGCGAUACUUGGUGUGAAUUUGCAGAAUCCCGUGAACCAUCGAGUUUUUGAACGCAAGUUGCGCCCGAUGCCAUUAGGUUGAGGGCACGUCUGCCUGGGUGUCACAU